UGCCCUGCUACAUUUAAUCAGCAGCAGUGGGUAUUUAUUGCCUUAUAUACCACUAAUCAAUAGUGAUUAGUACCUCAUUAACCUUUCUGUUUUUCUGAUUGUCUUCUUGCAGUGUUGUAAUAACAGAGCUUCCCUCUCCAGCCUGACAGAGGCGGUUCCGUAGGCUGCAGAAGGAAGUGCUGAUGCCUCUGAUGAGGUCUGUGACCCUAUUACUAUGAGGAGGAAUCACUGUGCCACCCAUCCACACCAGGAGGUGGCAAAUCCUCGCGGGGUUCACUCACCUCCAAGCUCCCAUGGCAAACAUCUCAGCCCCGUAACUCUGUGACAACGGCUGAGGGGGAAGCAAAAGCCUCAGGGGUGCAAAAUCUCUGGUGUGGGGCAUAUUCCCCAGGAAGAGAGAGCGGCCUGAUGCUCCGGUGUUGUUUCAGGGUGGUCACAGCAGCCAGGAGAGCACUGCUCCCCUGUGACUUGUUGCGUUUGCACCUAGGAUGCACUUACAGCCUCUGUUGUGACAGAUGCGCUGAAAAGCAAAGUGAGCAGCUGUGGGGAACCGUUCCCUUCCUCCCCUGCUGCAUUUGCUCCCUCACAUCCGUGUGACCAGCCCCUGGGGCUGAGUUCCCCGGCUUGCUGGGCUGAGUGGUGCUCCCGGAGCAAAGCUGUGAGGGACGGGGCGCAGCAGUGCACCCGCUGAGACUUCCAGCGCCACAGAAACAGUGGUGGGGAGGUGGGCCCGAGGAGUGCAAGGUGGGCCCCGGAGACUGGCAGGCUUCCACAAGCAGCAGACUGGGAUAAAUUUCUGCAAAUUAGAUAAAUUUCUUCAAAUUAGAUUAGCGCUGUGUGGGUUCAUUAAUUCUCAGUGUGAGUGAAGCCCCCUGAAAUUCCACCUGCUGGCAGGCUGAGCUCACACUGACAAGCUCUGCGCUGCUCAGGCCAGCUCUGAAACCGUCAGGUGCAUUUCGGGAACCCCUCGGGACAGGGCUGCACUGCCCCCAAGUGCAUUUGGUGUCCUCCAGCCACAGCGACUGCUGCAGUAUCUAAAAGUCAUCCUGUGGUGUCCACCCUGUGGAAACAGUGUCUUGGUGGUCUGGAGCAAAAAUACUUGCCUUAGAUCUUCUGCAUAAUGGGGAGCAAUGAAAUUCUCACCCCACCGAAUCUGUCUGGGGCCGGCUUUGCUCACUGCAGUCUCAGCGUGGCGCUGAGCGAUGCGAGCGUAUGGAUUUCCUGGUAUGCAGCCACGGGAGGCUUUAACAAGUGUCUGAGUUUCCUGCCCCUCCGCCUGCCUGGACCUGGCUCUUAGCUCUGCCGUUGGCUGGAGCACGUCAAAUUGAACUUCAUCUGAUUAAGCACGGCAGCGCCGAUAACUUGGAAGUGUUCCUGUUGUGAGUGGAUUACAUUUGUGCUCCUAACUCAGAAAAUCCCCCUUGAAAUGAUGAUUUCUCACUGCUCCUCGAGCUUUGCCUUAAAUGUGACUGCUGCCUGCUACGCCUGGAGCUGAGGCGAGGGAGCACACGUCUCUGCUGGUCGUGCAGCACCUGGCGUGGUGGGGAACGUGUGCCUGGGACCUGCUAAACCCCCUGAGGAAGCUUUUUCCUCUGCUCUGGCUGUUUUGUGUUGACCACUGGACUGCAGCACUCAGCCGAUUGUCGUCCGUGCUGAGGAAAGCACCUGCUCAAGCCACGCAGCCCAGUCCAGCCGCCCAGGGACAGGGGAUUGGGAGCCAAUCUGCUAAACGGGGAUUUAAGCCAGAGGCAGCCCCGAGUGCCUCCGUCUCCUGACGCUCCCAAGCAGCACAGGCAGCCGCCGCUUCCUCCAGGCCCUUCCCACAGUUCAGCCCAAUCCUCCAGCUCUGCAGCAAGGGCUUUCCAACCAGAAAUAAGUUUCCCCAUCUUCUUGCUACGCUGCCUUUUAAUUAGGAGCACAGCUACUCUGGAAACGCGGAGCUCACUUUUCAGAGCGUGCUGGAAAGUGAUUACAAUGGAUUAAAGUGGAAAGGUUAGGCAAUUUAUUCAUCUGGCACUUAGCAAAUGCGUUGGAUUAUUUUGUGCCGCGGGGAUGAUUUUAAAAAGAAAACAACACCGUUCCAGCUCUCGCUAGCCCUGAGGUUCCCUGCUGCACGAGCUAGGUGGUGGAGCUGAAAUGCUGCUUGAGCUGA